rnacentral:other from 1 species
ACGGGACUGCCCGGCACGAGCCGCUAAUUUCCCUGAGGCGAUAUCAAUCCUAUGGGAGUUGUCCCUGCCCGGGUUACGGUGGUCUCAUCGGGGCCCGACGCAUAUGACGCCCACCUGAUGCUUGAGGCGUCAGAGGAUAUUAAGGGCAAACGACCAUGGCGGUUCCGUC